CUAUUGCCGGAGUACGGAAAGACUCACCUGCCUAUGAGGCAGGUUUAAAAAGGGAUGAUCGUAUUAUCAGCAUUAAC
rnacentral:tRNA from 1 species